UGGGGAAUAUUGGACAAUGGGCGCAAGCCUGAUCCAGCCAUGCCGCGUGCGGGAAGAAGGCCUUCGGGUUGUAAACCGCUUUUGUCAGGGAAGAAACGCUCUGGGCUAAUACCCUGGGGUAAUGACGGUACCUGAAGAAUAAGCACCGGCUAACUACGUGCCAGCAGCCGCGGUAAUACGUAGGGUGCAAGCGUUAAUCGGAAUUACUGGGCGUAAAGCGCGCGUAGGUGGUUUGUUAAGUCUGAUGUGAAAGCCCUGGGCUCAACCUGGGAAUUGCAUUGGAUACUGGCAGGCUAGAGUGCGGUAGAGGAUGGCGGAAUUCCCGGUGUAGUAGUGAAAUGCGUAGAGAUCGGGAGGAACAUCUGUGGCGAAGGCGGCCAUCUGGACCAGCACUGACACUGAGGCACGAAAGCGUGGGGAGCAAACAGGAUUAGAUACCCACUAGUCCCUGAGCGGGCUGGCAAGGCGCAU
rnacentral:rRNA from 1 species